UACGAAGGGGGCUAGCGUUGUUCGGAAUUACUGGGCGUAAAGCGCACGUAGGCGGAUUUGUUAGUCAGGGGUGAAAUCCCGGGGCUCAACCUCGGAACUGCCUUUGAUACUGCAAGUCUCGAGUCCGGAAGAGGUGGGUGGAAUUCCUAGUGUAGAGGUGAAAUUCGUAGAUAUUAGGAAGAACACCAGUGGCGAAGGCGGCCCACUGGUCCGGUACUGACGCUGAGGUGCGAAAGCGUGGGGAGCAAACAGG
rnacentral:rRNA from 1 species